GAUGAAGAACGCAGCGAAAUGCGAUAAGUAAUGUGAAUUGCAGAAUUCAGUGAAUCAUCGAAUCUUUGAACGCACAUUGCGCCCUCUGGUAUUCCGGAGGGCAUGCCUGUUCGAGCGUCAUUUGUACCUUCAAGCUUUGCUUGGUGUUGGGUGUUUGUCUCGCCUUUGCGUGUAGACUCGCCUUAAAAUAAUUGGCAGCCGGCGUAUUGAUUUCGGAGCGCAGUACAUCUCGCGCUUUGCACUCAUAACGACAGCGUCCAAAAGUACAUUUUACACUCUUGACCUCGGAUCAGGUAGGGAUACCCGCUGAACUUAAGCAUAUCAAUAAGCGGAGGA
rnacentral:misc_RNA from 1 species